rnacentral:sRNA from 1 species
UGAAUGGAAAGUGGCGCAGUAUUCUAGUCAGAAUUUGCUUUUUCUGAAGACGGGGCUAAAAAUCCGUCAAAUGGCACAUCGAUGAAGCUCCUUGUUUUUGCUGCCGACGCCCAGUCGGGGGUAUUUUCAGGGAGAAAGAUGGUCAGGGCGAUCCAUAAUGGCAUAUGGGCGUGAACCCUGUUCAUCGUGGAGGCUUGCACCGCCGGACCGACGGGAACGGCUGUGUAAGAAAUAAACCUGAAGUAAGGCUGUAUCGAAAUCAUUCGCUGACCUUACCUAAGCGUAGCUUGCCUUGAGUGGGAGCGGGGGAAUACAGAUCUAUGCGGCAGUGUUCGAGGCCUGGGCGCGGACCGCAAUCGCUGUGUGAAACCGGUUCUGCAAAAGAGGAUAGGAAAAAGCAAUACUGUUGAGGAAAUCUCCUAGACUGUUUGAUAUACGUGGAUUGCAGUACGGACUUAGUGGCAAUCCGGUACCGCAGUUGGCAACGCUGCGGGCGGAGCUUUGAAGGGAAACCGCUGAUCAGGCGACAGAUCAGCAGCACCGUAGGAAAUCUGACCGGACCUAUGCCGUAAGGUUUACACGUAUAUUGUCCACUUCAUUUUUAUU